rnacentral:rRNA from 1 species
UACGGGGGGUGCGAGCGUUGUCCGGAAUCACUGGGCGUAAAGGGCGCGUAGGUGGUCUGAUAAGGGUGUGGUGAAAGUCCGGGGCUCAACCUGGGAACUGCGUCGGAUACUGGAUGGCUUGAAUCCGGGAGAGGGAUGCGGAAUUCCAGGUGUAGCGGUGAAAUGCGUAGAUAUCUGGAGGAACACCGGUGGCGAAGGCGGCAUCCUGGACCGGCAUUGACGCUGAGGAGCGAAAGCCAGGGGAGCAAACGGG